UCACGGGCCAUGAAAGUUUUGGAUCAAGCUGAUAUUUGUGCUGUCCCUUCCUCCAGGUCUUUUUGACCUUACUAGCAGGUUGGAUGGAAAAUAAACAUUACUUCCCAAGAUGUUCUUAAUGAUGCUUAUUCAAAGUGGAAGUAACUAUAUAGAUUGUGGGCUCAGGGGUCCACAUUGCUUACAUGGAUGCAUGAUCAAAGUUGCUCAUCAGUUUUAUCCUUGAAGAAAAAGGAAAGAAAAAUCUGUCCACAUAUUUAUAAAAAAAAAUUCCAUAGCUAUUCUCCUCCUUCUGCUAGUUACCGGUAUUUAUUGGUUCAUUUUAUUUUAUAUCAAAUUUGUUUUUUGGUUAUUUUAUUUUGUUUUAUAAACUUUUGUCUUUGCAUUGGUAACUGAAGGUGGAGCAUUGGUAACAGAGGGGGGCUUUGCUGCUUCAUAUGGGGAUGGAUAUGGACUUCAUUCUGGUGGUGCUGACAAAGGUCCUCUAUAUAGCAUGAGUACUGGUUCUUGGGAUGCAUUUGAGAAGUCUUGCCUUAGGUGUCACUGAAGUCCGUUGAUUUUUAUUUUUUUUCCUUUUGCUUCUCCUUGUGUCUCAAUCUAUAAAUUUUCUAUCCAUUAUGUAACCUUUCAUUUUCAGACCUCCUGUAAAUGAGGUUGGUUGUAAAUGAUUUACAGGUUGUGUUUGAAUGCUAAUUUAAUCUUGUAAAGGUCUUUUGAUUUAGAAGAUUCAGCCUAGCAAAAUUUUUAAUUGUUUUUAUUAUUUUUUCUUUUACACUGUAAAUGAUUUAUUGGCGUUUUAAAUAGAUUUUACCAGUGUUUUUUAAUCUCUC